GCCCUCGUGGCGGAAUUGGUAGACGCGCGAGGUUUAGGACCUCGUGCCCGCAAGGGCUUGCAGGUUCAAAUCCUGCCGAGGGCA
rnacentral:tRNA from 1 species